GUCUCUCACAACUAGGCAGCGCCACCAGACAUUGGCUCAGCCAAGCAGCAAGCUGAGGGCACGCGCAUUUUGGUGCUAUCUCCUCGCAAGUUAUGCAUGGCAGCGACCAGCCAGCGUUCCGGCCACCAGUAGCAGUGGUCCAUCCCGUCCAUGGGAUCAAGAUUCAAGAUGUCGCAUCGUUGUUCUUUCUUCCCUCGCAAAGUAAAACGAUCGCCGAUACUGGGAAUGGAAAACGGC
rnacentral:lncRNA from 1 species